rnacentral:lncRNA from 10 species
AAGACAGCCACCUCGCCAAGAUCGUGUCUCCCCUUUCUGAGGAAGCCCAGAGCUGAUGACUGGCCAUAUGGAUAUAAAACGCACAACCCCCUCAGGGGAACUCCGACUCGGGCAUCUCUGAAGGACUAUGGGGUCCAGUGCAGCACAGAGUGGGACAUUACUUUCUGCUGGGAAGACCCACUUCCCAAUCAAGGGAGCAUUUGGUCUGAGUCCUGAAGGGUGGUUGGUUAAGUGGCAAAUACGCAGAGCUGGAGAAUGAAGGAUUUUUUUUUUUAAUACUUUAAGUUCUAGGAUACACGCGCACAAUGUGCAGGCUCAGCUUUCUCAUCACUGAACUGGAGAUACAGGUAAUAGUAAUAUCUACCCCUGGAGGUAUUUUUAAAUACUUCCACAGUACCUGACACGUGGUAAGUUUUAACAAUGCUGAUGGAGGAAACAUUUGGAUGUUUCCAGCCAAAUUGGAGGAAUCAACGAGUCUUGUCUACUGAUUAGAUAUAGAGGUCGGAAGAUGGAGGAUGGAGGUGAAGCCAAGAUGGCUCUAGGUAUCUGGCCUGAGCAAGAGAACUGACAACAGUUGGUAUUUGGGUUUGACUUGAAGGCAACUGUGGGCCAUCUAGAUGGAGAGAGGUACAGUGGCAUCUUGGAAUUUCUAAAAUAAAAUACAU